rnacentral:rRNA from 1 species
CUGAAUGGAAGGGCCAUCGCUCAACGGAUAAAAGGUACUCCGGGGAUAACAGGCUGAUACCGCCCAAGAGUUCACAUCGACGGCGGUGUUUGGCACCUCGAUGUCGGCUCAUCACAUCCUGGGGCUGUAGCCGGUCCCAAGGGUAUGGCUGUUCGCCAUUUAAAGUGGUACGCGAGCUGGGUUUAGAACGUCGUGAGACAGUUCGGUCCCUAUCUGCCGUGGGCGUUGGAAAUUUGAGAGGAGCUGCUCCUAGUACGAGAGGACCGGAGUGGACGUACCCCUGGUGUUCGGGUUGUUUUGCCAAAGGCAUUGCCCGGUAGCUAUGUACGGACGGGAUAAGCGCUGAAAGCAUCUAAGUGCGAAGCCCCCCUCAAGAUUAGAUUUCCCAGAGCUUUAAGCUCCUGAAGGGCCGUUGAAGACUACAACGUUGAUAGGCUGGGUGUGGAAGCGUGGUAACACGUGAAGCUAACCAGUACUAAUUGCCCGUGAGGCUUGACCAU